GCCGAUGCUUGACUUCCUGCUGCCGUUCCAUCUGACAUCAACAGCAUAUUCACGUAACUCCAGUUAAGCAGAGUCACUACGAGCUGUGUGUGGAAGCUAGGCUAACAAGCUGAGCUAACUUAGCGCCCUUGGAAGCGGAAGCAGCUGUUUGGGGGGAUUUGCUGACGCCCAGAGAGCCACGCUGAGCCACACGGUGGCAACGUGAUGUCUGCUUCGUCCUCCGUCUGUUGGACAGGAGUCAAACGGAGGGAAAGCACCUGGUCGACGUGACCUUUUUCGCCCGCGCGGAUGAAAGGUGGAGGGAUCAGGACCAGUGUCCGUUUCAAC